rnacentral:rRNA from 1 species
AUACGUAGGUGGCGAGCGUUGUCCGGAUUUACUGGGUGUAAAGGGCGCGUAGGCGGCGCUUCAAGUCGUCUGUCAAAUGGGAGGGCUUAACUCUUUUUCGCAGACGAAACUGGAGAGCUUGAGAAGCAGAGAGGCAAACAGAAUUCCUGGUGUAGCGGUGAAAUGCGUAGAUAUCAGGAAGAAUACCAGUGGCGAAGGCGGUUUGCUGGCUGCAUACUGACGCUGAAGCGCGAAAGCCAGGGGAGCGAACGGGAUUAGAUACCCCGGUAGUCCUGGCAGUAAACGAUGUAUGCUGGGUGUGAGACUAGCGAUAGUUUCGUGCCGAAGUUAACGCGAUAAGCAUACCGCCUGGGGAGUACGGUCGCAAGAUUGAAACUCAAAUGAAUUGGCGGGG